rnacentral:tRNA from 1 species
GCGAAAGUGGCGGAACUGGUAGACGCGCGGGAUUUAGGAUCCCGUGGUUAAUAGCCGUGGGGGUUCGAGUCCCCCCUUUCGCA